rnacentral:rRNA from 1 species
CACGUAGGCGGAUCAGUCAGUUAGGGGUGAAAUCCCAGGGCUCAACCCUGGAACUGCCUUUAAUACUGCUGGUCUGGAGGUCGAGAGAGGCGAGUGGAAUUCCGAGUGUAGAGGUGAAAUUCGUAGAUAUUCGGAGGAACACCAGUGGCGAAGGCGGCUCGCUGGCUCGAUACUGACGCUGAGGUGCGAAAGCGUGGGGAGCAAACA